UGAAACCGUUCGGGGGUAAACGGACAGAGCCCGUGAAUCCGGGCCGGCGAAUUCAGGACCGAUGCGUGCGUCUCUGGUAGGCGUCGCGCGUCGGUUUGAUUUUUCGCCGGCCGUAUCAGUUCGGACGUUGCGACCCGUUUGGUGCUGGUUUUCGUAAGGACCGACGUUCAGUUCGACCAGUUUGAUUCGUUUCGGCGGAUCAGUUUGGCGAUCCGUUGGUUCCGAGCUAGCUAGCCCGACGGUAUAAGAAUGGUGUCCGGCGACGGGGACUUGUCCUCGUUGUCGGUACCGGUCGGUAACGAUUAUUCGGGCCUCUUUCCGACC
rnacentral:rRNA from 1 species